rnacentral:lncRNA from 1 species
CCCGUUUGCGGAUGCCAAGAAGCAGCCGAGCAUCUCUACCUCCAGGUCUGUCACAUGAUCCUGGNGCCAGAAGGCUGAAGACGGNAUCCUCCAACUUCCUGACACACUGGGGCUGUAUAGAUCAGAGAUGCCAAAAGCUAAUCCAGCAUUCACCUUCAGAUGCCUAACAAAUCAUCCCCAAAGUUAAUGGCUCACAAUAAUGGCGUGUCUGGCAGUUCUCCUCUUCCAGCAAGUUCUCCUGGGACUGGUCACACGGCGACUGUCUUUUUCCAAUGGAAGAUGAGAAGCCAGAACCUCUUCAAGCUUGGGCUUGAAUUCCCUCGUUAGCCUUUGACCAGCUUCUACUGAUUAAAGCAGGGUGAAAGGCUGUUCCGGAUUCAAGUGGUACCUGACUGCUAGGAGGGAAAUGUAAACGUUUAUUCUGGCCGCUUUUUACAAGGCCAUCGUUACAAUGUAUCAGUGGAGAAAAAAAAAAAAAACAGGAUUAGAGGAGCAGAGAGAAAAACCAUUGCCUUUCGUUUAUGCCAUCCUGUUUUAGUUAAGAUAUGGAAAAUCAUGAGUAGUGCAUAUACUUCAGCGACAAAAUAUUAAAACAAAAUUCAAAGC